rnacentral:rRNA from 1 species
UACGUAGGUGGCGAGCGUUGUCCGGAUUUACUGGGUUUAAAGGGUGCGUAGGCGGUCCGUUAAGUCAGCGGUAAAAUUGCGGGGCUCAACCCCGUCGAGCCGUUGAAACUGGCAGACUUGAGUUGGCGAGAAGUACGCGGAAUGCGCGGUGUAGCGGUGAAAUGCAUAGAUAUCGCGCAGAACUCCGAUUGCGAAGGCAGCGUACCGGCGCCAGACUGACGCUGAGGCACGAAAGCGUGGGGAUCGAACAGG